GCCAGUGCUGUGUAGUGGUUUGAGUAUUAGACUAUGACCCUAGACACCAGGGUUCAAAUCCCUGCUCUGACA